UGUCUCAGUUCGGAUCGGAGUCUGCAACCCGACUCCGUGAAGCUGGAUUCGCUAGUAAUCGCGCAUCAGCCAUGGCGCGGUGAAUACGUUCCCGGGCCUUGUACACACCGCCCGUCAAGCCAUGGAAGCCGGGAGUGCCUGAAGUAUGCAACCGCAAGGAGCGCCCUAAGGUAAAACCGGUGACUGGGGCUAAGUCGUAACAAGGUAAC
rnacentral:rRNA from 1 species